rnacentral:pre_miRNA from 1 species
AACCUGAUGAGCCUUAGUGUCACCCUGAUGACCUUAGUGUCACCCUGAUGACCUUAAUGUCACCAUGAUGACCUUAGUGUCACCCUGAUGA